UUAAUCUUGUUUUUUUUCCCCCCUCCUCAGGAACAAUCAGAACAUGUCAGAAGUUUCUCAUCCGAUAUAACAGCCGGCAGCUCCACCGCAUGCUUCCUAAAUGUAAAAUGAUGAAGAGAGACUGCAUGUUCGUCAGUCAAUCCUGUCCUGCUCCCUGCUGGGAGGAAAAGAGCGACCACUGGAAGAGGAAGAGGACA